rnacentral:tRNA from 1 species
AAGGGAGACCUAAUUCAGGUAGGAGACGAAAAAAAAGUAGUCCCAACCAAGAAUCAAUCCCAAAAGGUCGGAGCGAGGCGAAAUUGGCUUUCAAACUAGGUUCUGGGUUCACACAAGACCUGAAUCAGGAACAAGGGCUAUUAGCUCAGGUGGUUAGAGCGCACCCCUGAUAAGGGUGAGGUCCCUGGUUCGAGUCCAGGAUGGCCCACCUGCACAGGUGGCAAAAACAAAGAAGCGAGGAAUCAGCACCUUAUCUUAUCUAUAUAUAAGAGAGAAUGCUGGCUCUGAGUAAAGAGUCCAGAGGAACCUUGAAAACUGCAUAGAGCUAGGUGAAAAAGCCAAAAAAGAAGACCGCAA